rnacentral:lncRNA from 1 species
CACAGCAGCUCCCUGCAGCUCCCUGGGCUACCCCGAGCUUUGGUUCAGAAAAGAAUCCUCCAGGUGUGAAGUCUGAUGUCAGUCAGCCUCAGAAAACCAGCACCAGCUGAGCUGAGGACCUGCAAGCAAGUGUCAGACCCAGGGACCUUGAUAAUGAGACACCAACAGCCUGUCCUUUUCUAGUUGUUGAGACCGUGCAUUCCCUCUUGUUGUGCAAUUUGUGGUGGCUUUACAGAUUUUGAUGCCAACCUGAAGGACAAACCCCAAGCUUUUGGAUGCUGCUCAGCCAG